CCUACGGGAGGCUGCAGUGGGGAAUAUUGGACAAUGGGGGGAACCCUGAUCCAGCCAUGCCGCGUGUGUGAAGAAGGCCCUCGGGUUGUAAAGCACUUUCAGUGAGGAAGAACGCCUGGUGGUUAAUACCCAUCAGGAAAGACAUCACUCACAGAAGAAGCACCGGCUAACUCCGUGCCAGCAGCCGCGGUAAUACGGAGGGUGCGAGCGUUAAUCGGAAUUACUGGGCGUAAAGCGCGCGUAGGUGGCUUGAUAAGCCGGUUGUGAAAGCCCCGGGCUCAACCUGGGAACGGCAUCCGGAACUGUCAAGCUAGAGUGCCGGAGAGGAAGGUAGAAUUCCCGGUGUAGCGGUGAAAUGCGUAGAGAUCGGGAGGAAUACCAGUGGCGAAGGCGGCCUUCUGGACUGACACUGACACUGAGGUGCGAAAGCGUGGGUAGCAAACAGGAUUAGAUACCCUGGUAGUC
rnacentral:rRNA from 1 species